rnacentral:tRNA from 1 species
GAGAGAGGCUCGCUGCGGUUAAAGGCAGCUACCCUUAAACCCCUCGGUUGGACUCCGACGCUCUUCCG